UAAUUCGAUUUUUAGCUAUGAUUGUCCAAACGCAAUUCUUGUUGAUUUUUAAAUACUCAAGGGUUGCAUCUGGGCAUCGCGGCUCGAAAUGAGAAUCC
rnacentral:pre_miRNA from 1 species